ACGAUGUCACCAAGUUGAAAAACCGGUUCCUGUACGCUCAGCGAAGGUAAGGUAUAUCGAGCCUGGUUAGUAUCAAGAUGGGUGACCACUUGGGAAUACGAGGUACUGCUG